UGUAACUGGGCAGGCUCUGGAAACAUCAGAAGCAGCAGCAACCACAGUGCUCAACACCCUCUAACCAUGGAGAGGAAUUCAUGGAGAGAAGGAUGGCAACAACUACUGAAGAAUCUAGAUUUCUGCCUUCCACAGGUACAGGUCGAUCUCCGACAAGUACUGACACACCCUGGCCUUGAAAUGCAGAGAUGCCUAAAACAAAAUGGAGACCCUUCAGAAGUGGUCGCGAGGUAGAGAAGUAGAAGGAACACUGAGCCCGGAAUCAGGAAGACCUGAGUUCAAAUCCAGCCUCAGAAACUUACAAGCUGUGUGACUCUGGACAAUCACUUUACUGCUGCCUGCCUCAGCUUCCUCAUCUAUAAAAUGGGGUAGUGAUAUCCCUACAUCCAAGAAUUGCUGUAAAAAGAAAAUGAGAUAAUAUUUUAUAAAGUGCUUAGCACACAGUAGGCACUUAAUAAAUAUUUGUU